UACGUAGGCAGCAAGCGUUGUUCGGAAUUACUGGGCGUAAAGAGUGUGUAGGCGGUGCUCUAAGUUUGGUGUGAAAUCUCCCGGCUCAACUGGGAGGGUGCGCCGAAAACUGGAAUGCUUGAACGUGGGAGAGGAAAGCGGAAUUCCCGGUGUAGAGGUGAAAUUCGUAGAUAUUCGCAAGAACACCAGUGGCGAAGGCGGCUUACUGGUCCGGAACUGACGCUGAGGUGCGAAAGCGUGGGGAGCAAACAGG
rnacentral:rRNA from 1 species